GUCUAACCUGCCCACUGAAAUUUUUAAAUGGCCGCAGUAUUCUAACUGUGCAAAGGUAGCAUAAUCAUUAGUCUUUUUAUUGGAGGCUGGAAUGAAUGGUUGAAUGAAAUAUUAACUGUUUCAAUUUAAUUUUUUAUAGAACUUUAUUUUUUAGUCAAAAAGCUAAAAUAUAUUUAAAAGACGAGAAGACCCUAUAAAUCUUUAUAAUUAUUUCUUUAUAAAUAUAUAGAUGAUUUUAUUUAUAAAAAAGGUAAUUAUUUUAUUGGGGUGAUAUUAAAAUUUAUUAAACUUUUAAUUUAUAACUUACAUAAAUUAAUGAAUUAUUGAUCCAUUUAUUAUGAUUAUAAAAUUAAGUUACUUUAGGGAUAACAGCGUAAUUUUUUUAGAGAGUUCAUAUUGAUAAAAAAGAUUGCGACCUCGAUGUUGGAUUAAGAUAUAAAUUUAGGUGCAGCAGUUUAAAUUUA
rnacentral:rRNA from 1 species